CCUACGGGUGGCAGCAGUGGGGAAUAUUGGACAAUGGGCGAAAGCCUGAUCCAGCCAUGCCGCGUGUGUGAAGAAGGCCUUCGGGUUGUAAAGCACUUUCAGUGGGGAAGAAAGCCUUGGGGCUAAUACCCUCGAGGAAGGACAUCACCCACAGAAGAAGCACCGGCUAACUCCGUGCCAGCAGCCGCGGUAAUACGGAGGGUGCGAGCGUUAAUCGGAAUUACUGGGCAUAAAGCGCGCGUAGGCGGUCUGAUAAGCCGGUUGUGAAAGCCCCGGGCUCAACCUGGGAACGGCAUCCGGAACUGUCAGGCUAGAGUGCAGGAGAGGAAGGUAGAAUUCCCGGUGUAGCGGUGAAAUGCGUAGAGAUCGGGAGGAAUACCAGUGGCGAAGGCGGCCUUCUGGACUGACACUGACGCUGAGGUGCGAAAGCGUGGGUAGCAAACAGGAUUAGAUACCCCUGUAGUC
rnacentral:rRNA from 1 species